GUGAAAGUUUCCAAGGGCGCAUGGUGGAUGCCUUGGCAACAGGAGCCGAAGAAGGACGUGGGAAUCUGCGAUAAGCCUGGUGGAGUCGAUAACCGGACGUUGAGACCAGGAUUUCCGAAUGGGGAAACCCCGCACGACGUGUCGUGUGACCCCCGGUUGAACACAUAGACCGGGUGGAGGGAACGUGGGGAAGUGAAACAUCUCAGUACCCACAGGAAGAGAAAACAAAAGUGAUUCCGUUAGUAGUGGCGAGCGAACGCGGAUGGGGCUAAACCGUAUGUGUGUGAUACCCGGCAGGGGUUGCAUGUGCGGUGUUGUGGGCCCCUCCUUGUCAUGUCUGCCGGCAUGGCGCAGUGAGGUGCGGGCAUAUAGACGAACCAGUGUGGAUGCUGGACCGUAGAGGGUGAGAGUCCCGUAGUCGAAAUGUGUUCCGCCGCUGUUGGAGGGUUGCCCGAGUAGCACGGGGCCCGAGGAAUCCCGUGUGAAUCUGCCAGGACCACCUGGUAAGCCUGAAUACUACCUGUUGACCGAUAGCGGAUCAGUACCGUGAGGGAAUGGUGAAAAGUACCCCGGGAGGGGAGUGAAAUAGUACCUGAAACCAUGUGCCUACAAACCGUUGGAGCCUCCUUGUGGGGUGACAGCGUGCCUUUUGAAGAAUGAGCCUGCGAGUUAGUGAUACGUGGCGAGGUUAACCCGUGUGGGGAAGCCGUAGCGAAAGCGAGUCUGAAUAGGGCGAUUGAGUCGCGUGUCCUAGACCCGAAGCGGAGUGAUCUACCCAUGGCCAGGUUGAAGCGCGUGUAAGAGCGCGUGGAGGACCGAACCCACUUCAGUUGAAAAUGGAGGGGAUGAGCUGUGGGUAGGGGUGAAAGGCCAAUCAAACUCCGUGAUAGCUGGUUCUCCCCGAAAUGCAUUUAGGUGCAGCGUCACGUGUUUCUUCCCGGAGGUAGAGCUACUGGAUGGACGAUGGGCCCUACAAGGUUACUGACUUCAGCCAAACUCCGAAUGCCGGGAAGUGAGAGCGUGGCAGUGAGACUGUGGGGGAUAAGCUUCAUAGUCGAGAGGGAAACAGCCCAGACCACCGGUUAAGGCCCCUAAGCGUGUGCUAAGUGGGAAAGGAUGUGGAGUUGCUGAGACAACCAGGAGGUUGGCUUAGAAGCAGCCACCCUUGAAAGAGUGCGUAAUAGCUCACUGGUCAAGUGAUUCCGCGCCGACAAUGUAGCGGGGCUCAAGUACACCGCCGAAACCGUGGCAUUCAGUUUUGCUGGAUGGGUAGGGGAGCGUCGUUCACGAGGUGAAGCCAGCGGGUAACUUCUGGUGGAUUGUGGACGAGUGAGAAUGCAGGCAUGAGUAGCGAAAGACGGGUGAGAAACCCGUCCGCCGGAUGACUAAGGGUUCCAGGGUCAAGCUAAUCUGCCCUGGGUAAGUCGGGACCUAAGGCGAGGCCGACAGGCGUAGUCGAUGGACAACGGGUUGAUAUUCCCGUACCAGUGAAGAACCGUCCAUGUUGAGCCGGUGAUACUAACCGCCCGAACCAUCCCGAUCCUCGUCUUUGACGGGGUCGGUGAUGGGGAGCGCGGGACCUGAACCGGGGAGGCAAGCGCAUUAACAGGUGUGACGCAGGAAGGUAGCCGGGCCGGGCAAUGGAAAUGACCUGGUCUAAGGGUGUAGGGCUGCCGGUAGGUAAAUCCGCCGGCUGUAUGCCUGAGACCUGAUGGGCGCCCACAUGGUGGGUGAUCCGGUGAUCCUAUGCUGCCUAGAAAAGCAUCGGCGUGAGGUUCAAACUGCCCGUACCCUAAACCGACACAGGUGGUCAGGUAGAGAAUACUAAGGCGAUCGAGAGAAUCAUGGUUAAGGAACUCGGCAAAAUGCCCCCGUAACUUCGGGAGAAGGGGGGCCCCAACCUUGAGCACCACGUGCUGGUGUGAGGGGAUCGGGGCCGCAGAGACCAGGGGGAAGCGACUGUUUAUCAAAAACACAGGUCCAUGCGAAGUCGUAAGACGAUGUAUAUGGACUGACUCCUGCCCGGUGCUGGAAGGUUAAGGGGACCCGUUAGCUUCGGCGAAGCGGAGAACUUAAGCCCCAGUAAACGGCGGUGGUAACUAUAACC
rnacentral:rRNA from 1 species